UACGUAGGGUGCAAGCGUUAAUCGGAAUUACUGGGCGUAAAGCGUGCGCAGGCGGUUUUGUAAGUCUGUCGUGAAAUCCCCGGGCUCAACCUGGGAAUUGCGAUGGAGACUGCAAGGCUAGAAUCUGGCAGAGGGGGGUAGAAUUCCACGUGUAGCAGUGAAAUGCGUAGAGAUGUGGAGGAACACCGAUGGCGAAGGCAG
rnacentral:rRNA from 1 species